rnacentral:lncRNA from 1 species
UUUCAUAUUGUAAAAUUAAAAUCUAGCCUAUGAAAUAAAAACUUAAAAAAUUGGCCAAUUUUGUGCAAAAAGUUAUAAUUACCCUAACAAUAAAUUUUAAAAAAUAGCCCAUUUCAUCUCUUCUCUCUUUUCACGGUUUCUCUCUCUCUCUCUCUCUCUCAAUUUCGUUCGAUAGAUCCCCUCUCUCUCCUCGUCAUCUCCAAUCCUACCUCCGCUCCCCCACCGCCGACUUUUACCCCUUUCUCCACCAACCUCGUCGACGUCCUCCGCUGCCACAUCCUCCUUGAGUUUCUCUCCCUCUCCGACCUCCGACCUCGUCACCACACUCUUCCAGACCACCGGCCGUGCCACCGCCAACUCCGGCCGCACCGUUUGAAUCUGUGCCAUGAUCUUCGACAUCUUGCUCCAGAUCUGGAGAGUCGGCGGCUGGGCUGUUGUCUUCCAAUUAUUUGUCUCCGGCGGAAUACUGCGCCCGCUUCUUCCUCUACGUGCCGUCGACCACCGCUGCCGCUCUGGCGGAAGCCGCGACGAGGAUCCAAAAAUAGCGAUAAACGCAGCAGAUUAAGAGCGUCGGUGUCAGUUUGAUUGGAUCACUUUUGAAAAUACUGAAACAUCAGGUUGCUAGGCGCAGAGUUGAGAGAAAUUGUGAUUUGAAAGAGAGAUAAAAUAUGGAGGGGAUUAGAAUUUCGUCUUCGUGUAUUGUGAUUUAGAAUUGUGAUUUCGUGUACCAGAGGUGAAAGUCAAAGCUCAUGGGAUAUGAUUUAGAAUUGAAGUUUAGUUUCUAGUUUCUAAAUUGGAGUUUUUAGAAAUUGAGAGUUGCGCGCUUGUACGAAGAAAUCUGGGAAGAAUUUUGUUUUAAAGAGAAAUUUGAGAAAAAGUUAGAUUCAAUUUGAUUUUAAUAGAAAAAAUAUAAGUAGUGAAGAAAUUGAUGAAAAUCACGUAAUUUUGUACAAAUGUUUUGAAUUCAUAACUAGAUCUACGAAUUCAUAACUUAAUGUUCUUAGAUUCACAACCAGAUCUAUGAAUUCACAACUAAACGUUCAUGAAUUCACAACUAGAUCUAUGAAUUCACAACCAGCUCGAUGAAUGCACAACUUAAUAUUCUUGAAUUCACAAUCAAAUCUAUAAAUUCACAACUUAAUGUUCUUGAAUUCACGACCACAUCUAUGAAUUCACAACCAGAUCUAUGAAUUCACAACCAAAAUACAUUCUAGUUUUAGUUGUGAAUUCAAACUUUAAAACUGAAAUUCACAACUACUUAGAAUUCACAACCAAAAUAAAUUCUGGUUGUGAAUUCGACUGGUUGUUAAUUCAACCAAAAAAUUCUGGUUGUGAAUUCGAGAGUUUAGGGUUUAGGGUUUAGAGUGGGUUUAGGGUUUAGGGUUUAGAGUGGAUUUAGGAUUUAGGUUUUAGGGUUUAGAGUGGGUUUAGGGUUUAGGGUUUAGAGUGGGUUUACGGUUUAGGGUUUAGGUUUUAAGGUUUAGGGUUUAGAGUGGAUUUAGGGUUAAGGAUUUAGUGUCACGACCGGACUUAAUUAAGGAUAAUUAAACUGGGAAACCAUGACUAAGGGAGGGGGAUAAGAAGCUGGGGUAGAAAAGGGGAGUGAAUAAAUAGAGAAGGAUCGUACUUUUCAUUAAUGACGGAGAAAACAUCUAAUAUAUAUAACGAAGGUUUAGUUGCAAAGAUUCGAUUGAACUAGUAAGUUCGGAUAUCUCCGACUUAGCCAAAACAACAUAAGACUUCUUUGAGUACGCAGCGGAAGUAAUAAGGUUUCUGAUUACAUGUAUGAAGACAUGUACCCAAGAGUUUUUCAAAACAUAUAACAUCGAGACUAAAGAAGAUCCUGCUCGUCACUUCAUCACCAUCGGCUACUGCUCAACCUGCACAUUUAGAAAUAUAUGCAGGGUUGAGUACAAAGGUACUCAGUGGGCACAUAUGCCUAUAAUGAAAUAUAACAUGCUUCGUAAAGUUGUAAAUUGUCAUGCCAUCAUAACCAGUACAGCAAGGGGGUUUUUCGCUAAAAGGCCCAAGCUUACUAAAUUCAUUUGUGAUUCUUAAAGUUCGACUGAUCAGUCUAGGUUCUCUUGUAAUCUAUCAUAUCUGGAACUACGUGCCGGAGAGGUGGCCACCUCUCACGGACACCUGACCGGCCAACCCGCUCGAUGACUCACGGUCACACGUGUACACUAGGCCUUGCAGGAUAGCUAUCAACUGCUCAGGACCCGAAUUCGAUUACUUAACACAUCAGAUAGAUAUCAUACUAAAUUGAAAUAUUUAUGGCAAGACAACAGUUGAAAUAAUUUCAAUUCAAAGAUUUUGUCAUGAAAAUAACUUGCUUGAACGUAACAUUUAAACUCAUUUGAUAUAUCUAUGAAAGUAAUGCCCACCUGAUAGAAACUUUCUGUGGUACAGUAGCUCCUUGACUGAUUAUUAAUCUUGUGCUUGACCUUUAUUACGAGAAUAUAAAUAAGAUACUGCUCGAGCAAAAUCCUCAAAUAAUGAGAAUACGAAAUUAAUGAUGCAUGAUCCUCUUAUGAAUUAUUAUUCUGAAAUAAUAAUUGGGAAAUUUUAUUAUUAAUCCAGGCUAUCGGAUUUAACAAAAGUUAAGUCUCAUCUCAUGAAGCUGGAUAAUUAUCUAAAAUUAAUCCGUUUUCUACAGGGUGUUCUAAUCUGCCGAUUAAAUAAAUCCUGCUCUUUGUAGUUGAUAGGAAAGAAAUAAAUACUUCGGCUUAUUCGCUUUUAUCCUCGUAAUUAAUCGGCUUAAUAAUGGGAAAAGUACUGUUGUAAGUUUGAGUAAUUAAAAGGCUCGACAUAAGGUCGCCUAAUAAUUAAUUAAGUAGAAGUGGCUUGAAUAAUUAUAUGAGAGGCCCAAUUGAAAUAAUUCAUCGGCUCAUGUAUUAAAUAAAUCUGGCCCAAUGAAUAAAUAAUUUGAUUAGCUGGGCUCAAUUAAAUAAAUCGAAACGAGGCCCAACGAAGAUAAUAUAACAGCCCAAUUAAAAUAAAAUAAAUGGGCUUUAAUUUAAAUAAAAUUCGGCCCAAUGAAAUAAAUAACAAAGCCCAAAUGAAAAUAAAAUAAAGGCCCAACUUUGAGUUACAAGGGAGAAGCCCAAAUUAAAAUAAAUUAAAGCCNGCGGAAGCCGCGACAGGAUCCAAAAUAAGCGAUAAACGCAGCAGAUUAAGAGCGUCGGUGUCAGUUUGAUUGGAUCACUUUUGAAAUACUGAACAUCAGGUUGCUAGGCGCAGAGUUGAGAGAAAUUAGUGAUUUGAAAGAGAGAUAAAAUAUGGAGGGGAUUAGAAUUUCGUCUUCGUGUAUUGUGAUUUAGAAUUAGUGAUUUCGUGUACCAGAGGUGAAAGUCAAAGCUCAUGGGAUAUGAUUUAGAAUUGAAGUUUAGUUUCUAGUUUCUAAAUUGGAGUUUUU